CCAUGUGAGUAGUAUUCUUCAUGGUAGGAGAAAGCUUCCAGAAAGAUCUCCCUAUGGUAGUGAUUUACAUGUAGAAAAGGAAAUAGGAAGGAGUAGGAAUUGGGGCAGAUUGUCACCUGGGAGAUCAGAGGGGAGGCUUCGUGACAGAAUAAAAGCUAGGGUGGAAGAGGACUACAAUAGUGAAGGGAGAAAUCUUAGAGGUAUACGAAUGAGAAGGGAAAUGACAGAUGAGAGGAGUACUGAUUUUGCUGGUCCUAAAAGUCUUGCAGAGCUGAAAGGUACAAAAAGUAUAGAGGGUAGGAUGCAGCAAUCCCUUGGAAAGAGAAAACAACUUGAAGAUCAUCGACCAUCUGAAGGUAAUCUUUCAUUCGAAGGCCCAAUGCCUCUUAGUGAGAU
rnacentral:misc_RNA from 1 species